UUUAUAGCCCCAGAGACUGAAAUUUUCUGUCCACAGAAAACAUACAGCAUGGGCAAUGGCAAUGCAAACUUCCUCACAAUGUCCUCCCAGUAUGACUCAAUCCUGACUACUAUACUAGUGGUAAUUAGUAGCAUACUUAGGGUGCCAUCAUUUUAGUAUCUGGUGCCCUCACAAGUCUCAAGUAGAG
rnacentral:sRNA from 1 species